AACGCUGGCGGCGCGCUUAACACAUGCAAGUCGAGCGAGAACCAUGGCUUCGGCCAUGGGGACAGCGGCGAACGGGUGAGUAACACGUGGGUAAUCAACCCUCGACACUGGGAUAGCCCGGGGAAACUCGGAUUAAUACCGGAUACCCCAUCUGGCCUUCGGGCCGGCUGGAAAAGGUAGCUUUGGCCUCCGGUCGAGGACGAGCCCGCGGCGGAUUAGCUUGUUGGCGGGGUAAAAGCCCACCAAGGCGACGAUCCGUAGCUGGUCUGAGAGGACGAUCAGCCACACUGGGACUGAGACACGGCCCAGACUCCUACGGGAGGCAGCAGUGGGGAAUCUUGCGCAAUGGGCGAAAGCCUGACGCAGCGACGCCGCGUGAGGGAAGAAGGCCUUCGGGUUGUAAACCUCUUUCAGGAGGGACGAAGCCACUCGGGUUAAUAGCCCAGAGGGUGACGGUACCUCCAGAAGAAGCCCCGGCUAACUACGUGCCAGCCGCCGCCGUAAUAC
rnacentral:rRNA from 1 species